GACGAACGCGGCGGCGUGCCUAAUACAUGCAAGUAGAACGCUGGAGGAGGAGCUUGCUUCUCUGGAUGAGUUGCGAACGGGUGAGUAACGCGUAGGUAACCUGCCUGGUAGCGGGGGAUAACUAUUGGAAACGAUAGCUAAUACCGCAUAAUAGCAGUUAUUGCAUGAUAACUGUUCGAAAGGUGCAAAUGCAUCACUACCAGAUGGACCUGCGUUGUAUUAGCUAGUUGGUGGGGUAACGGCUCACCAAGGCGACGAUACAUAGCCGACCUGAGAGGGUGAUCGGCCACACUGGGACUGAGACACGGCCCAGACUCCUACGGGAGGCAGCAGUAGGGAAUCUUCGGCAAUGGACGGAAGUCUGACCGAGCAACGCCGCGUGAGUGAAGAAGGUUUUCGGAUCGUAAAGCUCUGUUGCAAGAGAAGAAACGAGUGUGAGAAGUGGAAAAGUUUCACAACUGGG
rnacentral:rRNA from 1 species